UUGCCCUCCCUGCCCACUCCCCUUUAUAUUCUGCCCCAGAAGGGCCAGAAGCCCCAAGUUAGGCCCAUUGUGGGCCAAGGGAUCCUCCGCCUGGCAUCCCUGGGCAAGCAUAUUCAGUGCCAUGUAAGAAAUUCCCGUGGACCUGCAUUUUUUAUGAUCUCUUCAUAUACAGAGAAAGAGGAAGAAAGAAGGACUGGCAGCUCUAUUUGCAACUCUUUCCUCCAGAAAGAAGCCACAGAGGCAUAAAGAAGAUGAUAGCCACCAGAUGACUUGGCUUGGGAAGAUCCCAAUACUAGUCAUUGAGGCUGGUGGACCAUACCUGAAGAGAACAAAGAAGACAACUAACCACCUGAAGUUCCAACAUCUAAAUCUGAACAAAGCUAAUUCAACCCCACUAAAGUUUAAUAUUGUGUGUGUUAAAACUUGACCUUUUUGUGUUUGGAGGCAGAGGCUCAGGUUCCGUUAAUGUGCGUGAAA